UAGUAUAUAAGGGAUGCUUCAGUCUUCCUCAAAGAUAAAGUGCCUAAUUGGUAUCAAUAGGGGUAUUAAUAGUGUGUAAAUGUUUUGAAAGAUACAUCUCAGUAAAUAAUACAGCUGAUACUUGCUGCAAGUCAAAGGAAUUCACUUCUCUAAGAUGUGAAUCGGACUCAUACGAGCUUAUCAAAGCUAUCAAUACCAAGGAACCUAUUGCAGAGCUGCAUGGAUCUCUCUCAGACAUUCACGCUCUUGUUUCCUCUUUCAUUUAUGUAUCUUUUAAUUGGAUCCCCCGAGAUCUCAACUUUGUUGCUGAUAAACUUGCAAAGGAUGCUAUGAUGUUAGGUGAAGUCUUUAUGACUCCCACCUAAUUCUCGUUAUGGAAGUUAAUGAAAGUUCUGUUCAAAAAAAAAAUCAAAGGGGAUUUUCGAUACAUUCCAUAUAAUGUGAUAAUACUAAUCUUCUUACUUCUAUAUAUAUAUAAAGUUAGGUGAUACAUGUUUCCAAUGAGUCGCAAAUCAAAUAUUGAUAGUUAUCUGCAGAAUAUUAGUCACUGAUAUACAUUGACUGUUGAUUGACUGUUGUGUGAAAGUUAAAUCUACAUACCAAACACGUCGUCUGAAAAGAGUUGGAACAUGGACACGGAUAUGGACGUCGAAAACGUUACUUUUUGUAUAUGAUAUAAGGAGUUAUAUAAUGGAAAAAUUACGCAAUCUCUUUCUUAUUAAAAGGGAAACAUUUUUUAACAGUAACCUUAAUUUAGUAAUAUAUGUACAAAUUUGCUAUUUUGGCUUACGUGGCAUAACCAGAAUUCUUCUCAGCUUUCAAUUUUAACAGACCUUUGAUUACUAGAAAUUACAACAUAUGCCAUUGGUAAUGAUAUAAUAGCCAUGUUCUUUUGCGGGAUGCAACGUCAGUGGCGAAAACCAAAAUUUAACGAACAAAACAGAGAAUUGCAACACAGCGUCCUUAUAUAGUUCCCGCCGGCGACUGUCGCAACUGAUCUUUUCGGUGAUUUCUUCGCUGUGUCUCCCGUACAAUCUUGACUUGUGGCUUGCGUCAUUCCUUUGACUCUGUAUUUUAAUUUAUUGCUGACCUGUCAUUUUAAAUUCUUUAAUAUUUUGGUGACGCACUGCAUCCAGCAAAAGAACAGAGCUAAUAUAGUUUGAUUAAUAAAAAGACCACGCAUGUAUUUUAUCUCAUUAGCCCAUCAAUUUAUCCGCUCGAAGAUCAUCAUCAUCAAUCAUUUUUUAUUGCUGAAGCUCUUCAAUUUUUGAGACACGUAAAGUAUGAUCGGGAUCAAUGUCGUAUAUCCCCUGUUUGUGAUUUAAGUUAAACUUUUUAUUACUCCGUCAAAUGCGAGAUUUUUUUUUGGAUUUUGGCGACAAAUCGGUGAAGUUUGAGGAUCAAAUGAAACUUAACCCAUGAAUCAACAGAAAUUAUUAUCAACUUCAAGUUUUGAGUUUUAAAGUUUUGAACUUUAACCGUUUUCUCUACUUAUGCUAACGUGGUGGGUGGUGAUCUCUUCUUAUUACAGAGGAGACCCUGACAACUGGUCUCAGUCACUUGAUGUUCAGUCACUAUGGUCUCUGGAUUGGCCGGCCCUUUGUGUGUUUUGGUAUGCGCUGUUUCUCAAAUCCAUCUCAUCCUCUGCGUUUAGCUAGCUAUUGUGUGACAUUGUCUACGUUAGAGUAGCAGAUUCAAAUCCUUGCAUGCUUAUCUGACAGUAGUGGAGACACAGAGAUUAUCACUCCUUUUACAGUUUCUUAGGUGAUGAGCAGAACUGUACAGAGAAAGGUCUCCCACAAACAAAACGGGAAUAUCAGAGAUGGGAGAGUUACGAGAGUAUACCAUUAGGCCCUUAUGGUCAUUUGGCAACUCAAAAUGGUCACAGUCUGGGUAAAGAGAGUUUGGAUUCACAAAAGGAUGGUGAGUCGAUCUUGAGGAUGGAGAAUCGUAAGAGACAAACAUAUGACUUGCAUUUCAGAGUCUGAGUCGGUUUGGUUUUUCAAGUUCUAGCAAGGAUCAACGACUACACAAGUUAUCUUGAUCUUUGGGUGACUUUGUUACUUAUAUGUUACAUCUGUUGUUUAUAAUAUGGUCUGAAUCUUAGGUCGAUAAAGACAUUCUUCAAUUUUCGUAUAAAUCUUUUCUUUGUUGUCCA